UAAUGUAUGGGGAUCUGCCCGAUAGAGGGGGAGUAAUACUGGAAACGGUGGCUAAUACCGCAUAAUGUCUACGGACCAAAGCAGGGGCUCUUCGGACCUUGCACUAUCGGAUGAACCCAUAUGGGAUUAGCUAGUAGGUGGGGUAAAGGCUCACCUAGGCGACGAUCUCUAGCUGGUCUGAGAGGAUGAUCAGCCACACUGGGACUGAGACACGGCCCAG
rnacentral:rRNA from 1 species